ensembl:lncRNA
GUUAAGUGGUUGCAUGUGUAUUACUGCCUUAGCUUGGUCAUCCAUUCAAAUUCAAUAAAUGAAGAGCAUGGAGCAGUUUCUUAUCAUUGUUCUAUUAGCAGGAGGAACACUCGCUCUCGUUGCAGUUGAUGAGACUACUUGUGACCUCAGGAUGAACACAGGUCCAUGCUCUCCUAUUCUUGAAGGAACUGUGUAUAUCCAAGUGAUGACUAAUGCUAGUGGCCGUGAAAUGAAGUGUUUGAAAGUGCUUCCCAGUGUGAACAUAACUAUGUUCAAUCUGAAGAAAGAAAAAAUAAUGAUAGACAAGGAAUUUAACAACAGACUACAGUUUAUAAUCAAGAACGGGACACUCAAGAUCACAAACAUGAGGAGGAAUGAUUCAGGUCAAUACAGCAUUGAGGUCUUUAAUUCAGAUGGCGUUCAAGAGAAAAAUAUUCAUUUCACCCUGGAUGUUAAAGACAAUGGAAAAGUUGAAGCUCACGUUUCAGUUGAUGAGACUACUUGUGACCUCAGGACGAACACAUGCCCAUGCUCUCCUAUUCUUGAAGGAACUGUGUAUAUCCAAGUGAUGACUGAUGCUAGUGGCCGUGAAAUGAAGUGUUUGAAGGUGCUUCCCAAGGGAAACAUAACUGUGUUCAAUAUAAAGAAAGAAAAAAUAACAACAGACAAGGAAUUUAACAACAGACUACAGUUUAUAAUCAAGAACGGGACACUCAAGAUCACAAACCUGAAGAGGAAUGAUUCAGGUCGAUACAGCAUUGAGGUCUUUAAUUCAAAUGGAGUUCAAGAGAAAAAUAUUCAUUUCACCCUGGAUGUUGAGGACAAUGGCAACGUUGAAGGCGAUGAGACUACAUGUGACCUCAGGACGAACACAUGUCCAUGCUCUCCUAUUCUUGAAGGAACUGUGUAUAUCCAAGUGAUGACUGAUGCUAGUGGCCGUGAAAUGAAGUGUUUGAAGGUGCUUCCGAGGGGGAACAUAACUGUGUUCAAUCUGAAGAAAGAAAAAAUAACGACAGACAAGGAAUUUAGCAACAGACUCACGUUUAUAAUCAAGAACGGGACACUCAAGAUCACAAACGUGAAGAGGAAUGAUUCAGGUCGAUACAGCAUUGAGGUCUUUAAUUCAAAUGGAGUCCAAGAGAAAAACAUUCAUUUCACGCUGGAUGUUAAAGACAAUGGAAAAGUUGAAGCUCCUGUGUCCUCUGUCCUGCUGGUUUCUGAGUGUCUGUCCCAGGGAGAGAGGAGGGUGUCCUGCUCCUCUGAGGGAGGGGACAGUCCUCAGUACAGCUGGACUCUGGAUGGACGCACACUGACAGAUGCUGAGCUCCUUUAUGGAAAUAAUAAGACAAACAUCAUCACUCUGAAACAGCACGUCUCAGGACAUCUGGUCUGCUCAGUCAGGAACAAUGUCAGUAAUGCCUUCAAAGAAGAGAGGAUAUCUACCUGUGGUGAGUGAGAACAAUACUGAUAAAAGCUGAUUCUUAGUGUAAUUUUUUUUUUUAAAGUUAUCUCUUUAUCUGCUCAUAGGCUUUGUUUUCAUCAGCUGCUCAUUAUUUAAUGGGACACAGAUGUCAGGGUGGGUGCAUAAGUCCAGUAAUACCCUUUGUCCCGAACCAACAGGAGACCCUUCCACGGCCACACAAACUGCAGUGGGUAAGGAGAAUAACAUAGUGUCAAAUAAUCCGCUUUGAUUAAACUGCCAUCAAUAAUGACCCAAGGUAUUAUUAAAGAGGGAAGAUUAACUCUGAUGAAGGGGAUUAAUUCAUGUUUUUUUUCCCUUUGUCUUAUAAAGUAUGGUAUAUAAGCAAAAUUCUACAAUGACUCUUCUUUCACCGCUCUAACUUGUCAUAAAUAUUUUGUUUUUCUGCACAGGUGCUUCCUGGUUCGUGUUUGGUUUGAAAGCCGCUGUGGUAAUUAUAUCAUUAAGUGGAAUUUCGCUCUAUUUCGCUUGGAAGAAAAAAACAAUAUUGGAGGGCCCUGCUGUCCCACAAAGGAUGGAAUAUCCAGAUAACUCUGUUUUGAUGAUUGCAUUGAGUUCUCACUCCAACACAUAGUGUCACUUUUCACCUGUUGUACAUUUCUCAUGUGUCCUCAUAGGCUUGUAAAUAAGCAUUAGUGGGGGUUUUUUCAUUCCACAUUUUAUUGACAGCUUAGUAUAUUUUUAGUAUAUGUCAAUAUGUUUUUUGUGUUUUUAUUAUUCAAGAACAGCAAUCCAGCAAAAUAUAAUCGAAGUGGAAAAUCA